rnacentral:rRNA from 1 species
UACAGAGGGUGCGAGCGUUAAUCGGAAUUACUGGGCGUAAAGCGUGCGUAGACGGUUAUUUAAGUCGGGUGUCGAAAGCCCCGGGCUCAACCUGGGAAUUGCAUUCGAGACUGAAUAGCUAGGGUACGGUAGAGGGAAGUGGAAUUUCCGGUGUAGAGGUGAAAUUCGUAGAUAUCGGGAGGAACACCGGUGGCGAAGGCGGCGAAUCUGGGUAGAUACUGACGCUGAGGUGGCGAAAGCGUGGGGAGCCAAACAGGG